CCUACGGGUGGCAGCCGUGGGGGAUAUUGGACAAUGGGGGGAACCCUGAUCCAGCGACGCCGCGUGAGUGAAGAAGUAUUUCGGUAUGUACAGCUCUGUCAGCAGGGAAGAAAGAAAUGACGGUACCUGACCAAGAAGCCCCGGCUAACUACGUGCCAGCAGCCGCGGAAAUACGUAGGGGGCAAGCGUUAUCCGGAAUUACUGGGUGUAAAGGGAGCGUAGACGGUUAAGUAAGUCUGGAGUGAAAGGCCGGGGCUCAACCCCGGGACUGCUCUGGAAACUAUUGAACUUGAGUGCAGGAGAGGUAAGCGGAAUUCCUAGUGUAGCGGUGAAAUGCGUAGAUAUUAGGAGGAACACCAGUGGCGAAGGCGGCUUACUGGACUGUAACUGACGUUGAGGCUCGAAAGCGUGGGGAGCAAACAGGAUUAGAUACCCCAGUAGUC
rnacentral:rRNA from 1 species